GACGAACGCUGGCGGCGUGCCUAAUACAUGCAAGUCGAACGCAGUGGGGACGGGUGAGUAACACGUGGGUAACCUCCCAUCAGAGGGGAUAACACUUGGAAACAGGUGCUAAACCGAUACUGAUGGAUGGACCCGUGGUGCAUUAGCUAGUUGGUGAGGUAAAGGCUCACCAAGGCCACGAUGCAUAGCCGGCCUGAGGGGGUGAUCGGCCACACUGGGACUGAGACACGGCCCAGACUCCUACGGGAGGCAGCAGUGGGGAAUCUUCGGCAAUGGGCGAAAGCCUGACCGAGCAACGCCGCGUGUGUGAAGAAGGUUUUCGGAUCGUAAAGCACUGUUGUUAGGGAGGCGGUAUCUAACCAGAAAGCCACGGCUAACUACGUGCCAGCAGCCGCGGUAAUAC
rnacentral:rRNA from 1 species